rnacentral:siRNA from 1 species
AGGUGUCAGAUUUUAAUUGGCUA